rnacentral:rRNA from 1 species
GGAAGUAAAAGUCGUAACAAGGUUUCCGUAGGUGAACCUGCGGAAGGAUCAUUACAAUUCAGUAGCUUGCUACUGUAAGGAGGUGCUGUAAGCCCGCAUAGUUUAAUUACUGAUGAGCGGCAGGCCCUCUGUUUGUACCCUUGUCUUUUGCGCACUCAUGUUUCCUCGGCGGGCUUGCCCGCCGAUUGGACAAAACUAUAACCUUUUUAAUUUUCAAUCAGCGUCUGAAAAAACUUAAUAAUUACAACUUUCAACAACGGAUCUCUUGGUUCUGGCAUCGAUGAAGAACGCAGCGAAAUGCGAUAAGUAGUGUGAAUUGCAGAAUUCAGUGAAUCAUCGAAUCUUUGAACGCACAUUGCGCCCCUUGGUAUUCCAUGGGGCAUGCCUGUUCGAGCGUCAUUUGUACCCUCAAGCUCUGCUUGGUGUUGGGUGUUUGUCCUCUCCUUGCGUUUGGACUCGCCUUGAAGCAAUUGGCAGCCAGUGUUUUGGUAUUGAAGCGCAGCACAUUUUGCGAUUCUAGCCGAUAAUACUUGCGUCCAUAAGCCUUUUUUAACUUUUGACCUCGGAUCAGGUAGGGAUACCCGCUGAACUUAAGCAUAUCAAUAAGCGGAGGA